AGAAACUUAGGUUAAACAUAAACCAAGAGCCUUCAAAGCCCUAAAUAGAGGAAAAUC
rnacentral:tRNA from 1 species